rnacentral:rRNA from 1 species
GCUUAACGCGAAGAACCUUACCUAGGCUUGACAUGCUAGAGAAAGUCCUGUGAAAGCAGGGCCCUCCUUCGGGACUCUAGCACAGGUGCUGCAUGGCUGUCGUCAGCUCGUGUCGUGAAAUGUUGGGUUAAGUCCCGCAACGAGCGCAACCCCCUGCCUGCUGUUGCUAACAGGUUAUGCUGAGGACUCUGCAGGGACUGCCGGUGAUAAACCGGAGGAAGGUGGGGACGACGUCAAGUCAUCAUGGUCCUUACGUCUAGGGCUACACACGUGCUACAAUGGCCGGGACAAACCGUUGCGAUACCGCGAGGUGGAGCGAAUCGGAAAAACCCGGUCUAAGUUCGGAUUGCAGUCUGUAACUCGACUGCAUGAAGUUGGAAUCGCUAGUAAUCGUGGAUCAGCUACGCCACGGUGAAUCCGUUCCCGGGUCUUGUACACACCG